AUUGAACGCUGGCGGCAGGCCUAACACAUGCAAGUCGAGCGAGCGGCGGACGGGUGAGUAAUGUCUGGGAAACCGCCUGAUGGAGGGGGAUAACUACUGGAAACGGUAGCUAAUACCGCAUACCAUCAGAUGUGCCCAGAUGGGACUAGCUAGUAGGGGGGGGAACGGCUCACAUAGGCGACGAUCCCUCGCUGGUCUGAGAGGAUGACCAGCCACACUGGAACUGAGACACGGUCCAGACUCCUACGGGAGGCAGCAGUGGGGAAUAUUGCACAAUGGGCGAAAGCCUGAUGCAGCCAUGCCGCGUGUAUGAAGAAGGCCUUCGGGUUGUAAAGUACUUUCAGCGGGGAGGCGUUACCCGCAGAAGAAGCACCGGCUAACUCCGUGCCAGCAGCCGCGGUAAUUC
rnacentral:rRNA from 1 species